rnacentral:lncRNA from 1 species
GGCAGGAAGGCUGCAUCCAACUGAAGUUAACUGGUCCUUUGUUGCUUCUCCAGUCUAAGCUCUGUGGAGGGACGUCAAGGCCAGAAUGGGAUCCAGAAGGGUGGAGGAUGGGGUUGCCUUAGUAGCAUGAAGGAUUGGUGGGAGGCAAGAAGAGCCGAAAGUUACUUUUUAAAUAAUUUGGCUCAUAUUUGAAUUUAUCUGAUUAGUAGAGCAAUGUCUGGCAUCCCUCCUGCUUGGAAGGCAGACUUCCCUUUUCCAGCCAAAUUCAGUAAGUUUCAGGAAUUGUCUGGAAUUUUUGUGGAAUCAUGAGAAAAUUUGAACACAAAUAUCUCCCGUGGACUAACUGAGCAAGAACUCAUUUAUCACCAAGGGGAUGGUGCCAAGCCAUUCAUGAGGGAUCUGCGCCUGUGAUCCGAACACCUUCCACUAGGCUCCACUUCCAACACUGGGAAUCACAUUUCAACAUGAGAGUUGGAGUUGACAAAUGUCCAAACCAUGUCUCCAUCCAACCAUCUAUACAGGAGCUAAAAAAACUGGAUCUCACAAAAGUAAAGAGCAGACUGAUGGUAACCAGAGGCUGUGAAUGGAAGGGGAAAGGGAAGGGAUGCAAGGGAAAAAAAGAAGGACAGGACUAAGAGAAAGGCAGAGAUUCAUGGCUUUUUAAAAUGGUAUUUAUGGUUAUUCCCUCCUCCACCUCAUCCCUAACUUACCGGAAGACAAAAUGACAUGGGAAGAAGAGGAAAGUUGUUAGAAGGGGAGCUCUAGACAGCCAGGAAAGCUGGAGUCACAAGUGGACAAGGAGACCCAUGGAAGCGACUCAUGAUAGAAAUGGUUCUCCUUUGGUCAUCUGCAAACUUUACCCAACAAUGGUAUCUCCUGGUAUCGUAUGAAAUAAAACCAGAAGUCUGGUAUUUUGGUCCCAGCUGUUAAGACUUCUGCCUGGAUUAAGCCUUCUUUUCCAUCUCUCUGAGGGGCCACCCUGCUCAGAUUUCUCACACUUGGGCAACCUGCCUUGAUAUGUGAAUCUUACUUAGGAAAACAGACAAUUUUCUCUGGUCACUAUCUCAGCCCACAAGGGAGAUUUAGCAUUUUUAGUCGACCCUCUUC